UACGGGGGGAGCAAGCGUUGUUCGGAUUUACUGGGCGUAAAGGGCGCGUAGGCGGCGCGACAAGUCACUUGUGAAAUCUCUGGGCUCAACCCAGAACGGUCAAGUGAUACUGUCGUGCUAGAGUGCGGAAGGGGCAACUGGAAUUCUUGGUGUAGCGGUGAAAUGCGUAGAUAUCAAGAGGAACACCUGCGGCGAAGGCGGGUUGCUGGGCCGACACUGACGCUGAGGCGCGAAAGCCAGGGGAGCGAACGGG
rnacentral:rRNA from 2 species